CAUUGCAAACACGAAGCUCUUCCAGAAACGCCCUCACAGACACCCCGGAAGUCACGUACCCACUCUGUAGGUGCCCCGGGGCACAGGCAAGCGGACGAGCCAGUUAUCCCUCAGAGCUCCUGCUGCCUCGCCCGCUUUCUCUCGGAAACGUGAAGUGUGGCCUCAGCUGAAAGUGAGGUGGGCCUCAUUCAAUCAGUUGAAUUCUUCAAGAGAGAAAAACUGAAGUCCCUUAGAAGGAAAGAGUUCUGCCUUCAGACUGUCUUUGAACUUAAGACUGUAGCGUCGACUCCUGCCGGAAUUUCCAGCCUGCUGGCCAGCUCUGCAGAUUCACACUUGCCAGCCUCCACAAUCGCAGCUGAGGCGGAGGAACCCUAAGGGCUCAUUGAGAUCAUGGAUUUGCCCUUCUAUGCAUUGAUGGAGCACCUGCUGCCCACAGCGUCUGUAUUUGGUGCUGGGAUGCUGAGCCUCCUUCUUUAUGAAUUUUUAAAAGGACACUGAGAUCUUCAAACAGAGGCUGCCACUCUAAGCAAACAGAUCCCGAGCCCUGGACUCUGAAGCUUGGGCCCAGUUCUCCUUUUCUCCGGGUUUCAGAUCCCACUGUGAAGUGAGGGGGCCCUUCUGAUUCAGGACCCGGGGAAGCCAGGGGCAUGAGCAUCGGUGCCUCUUCUCUAUUUCAAGGACCCUUCUGGGUGUAAAGUUCUCUGAGAUGCCUUACAUGGAUUCCCACCACUGCAAGAUAACCAUCGUAUGUAAAGUGUUAUGACCAGCAGAGCGUAAUUGAAGUGCAUUCCAGAGGGAAAGACAGCGGCUCAGGGACAUGACCCUAUGCCAGCCCACACCACAGUCUUGGUCAUCACUCCUGUUUCCAUGGUGUUAACAGCAGCAGUUACUUGGUUACGGAGAGCUUUUCCUUACGCCAGCACCCUAUCCAUAUCGCUUGGACAGUACGUACACAAUGGUGAUGUUAUUGCUCGUCAUGUAUUACUAGUAAGAGCUUUGUCCCAGCAAGGAAGCCACCCAUGCAUCCACCAAACAUGAGAAACUCAAUCCCCAAAUCUCGUUUUGAAGUUCUGGUUCCUAGUCCAUUCCUAGUAGCCACAAUGAGAUCAGUCAGGGUCUUAGGAGGAAAAAACAUUCACACAGAUGUUUUAAAUGAAGGGACCUUAAUGACUAAACUACUAACAGACCUGUUGGCAUAUUAAGGAAAGAAAUGAGAGAGAUGGGGAAACUAAGGACUGGUAACAGCUGGAAGGCUUUGCCACCCUAAGAAUCAAACAGGGAAGGGAAAGAUGCAGCGUUACCAGGUCCUGUGUGAGCUGGCAUGAAGCCCGGGAGGUACCACCAUGGAGGCAUGGGGCUUCCUGAGAAGUGGUGAGGAAGAAUGGAUGGAGCAGGGAAGCAAGACCCCUUCCACCCACCGGCCCCCUGCUGCUGACCUCUUGGCCAAAUGGGACAGAAGCCAGCUUGCAGGGGCUGCUAUUCCGCCUGUGGGUAUCAGGGCAGAAAGUGGGCAGUUUCAGGGCAGGUGGGGUCAGUCAACAAUUCAGUUCAUCUUUUUCAGUUUUCUUUCUGGAUGAUUUUCAGAUGCUGUCUUGUGGUGUUGGGACUGCAGUUUCAUGAAAAUAUGUCUAGGUGUAGAGUUUGUUUUAUUCUGCUUAGAUAUAGAGUGCUUCCUAUGUUGGUGGAUCCAUCUUUUUUGACAUUAUGGAAAUUGUCUCUUUAAGUGUGUCUACUGCUGUAUUCUUUUUUUUUUUUGUAGGAAAGCAAAUAUAUGCGACUUUUUCAUUCUGUUAUCUAGAGGCAGUUUUGAAUGGUGAUUAAAAGCAUGAUUUCUGAAGAA
rnacentral:lncRNA from 1 species